rnacentral:rRNA from 1 species
CMGUGGGCAKAACGGUCAGACUCCUACGGGAGGCAGCAGUAGGGAAUCUUCCGCAAUGGACGAAAGUCUGACGGAGCAACGCCGCGUGAGUGAUGAAGGUUUUCGGAUCGUAAAGCUCUGUUGUUAGGGAAGAACAAGUGCCGUUCAAAUAGGGCGGCACCUUGACGGUACCUAACCAGAAAGCCACGGCUAACUACGUGCCAGCAGCCGCGGUAAUACGUAGGUGGCAAGCGUUGUCCGGAAUUAUUGGGCGUAAAGGGCUCGCAGGCGGUUUCUUAAGUCUGAUGUGAAAGCCCCCGGCUCAACCGGGGAGGGUCAUUGGAAACUGGGGAACUUGAGUGCAGAAGAGGAGAGUGGAAUUCCACGUGUAGCGGUGAAAUGCGUAGAGAUGUGGAGGAACACCAGUGGCGAAGGCGACUCUCUGGUCUGUAACUGACGCUGAGGAGCGAAAGCGUGGGGAGCGAACAGGAUUAGAUACCCUGGUAGUCCACGCCGUAAACGAUGAGUGCUAAGUGUUAGGGGGUUUCCGCCCCUUAGUGCUGCAGCUAACGCAUUAAGCACUCCGCCUGGGGAGUACGGUCGCAAGACUGAAACUCAAAGGAAUUGACGGGGGCCCGCACAAGCGGUGGAGCAUGUGGUUUAAUUCGAAGCAACGCGAAGAACCUUACCAGGUCUUGACAUCCUCUGACAAUCCUAGAGAUAGGACGUCCCCUUCGGGGGCAGAGUGACAGGUGGUGCAUGGUUGUCGUCASCUCGUGUCGUGAGAUGUUGGGUUAAGUCCCGCAACGAGCGCAACCCUUGAUCUUAGUUGCCAGCAUUCAGUUGGGGCACUCUAARGUGACUGCCGGUGACAAACCGGAGGAAKGUGGGGGAUGACGUCAAUCAUCAUGCCCCUWUAUGACCUGGGGCUACACACGUGCUACAAUGGASAGAACWAAGGGCAGUCGAAACYGCGAGGUUGAGCCAAUCMCCACAAAUCUGUUCUCACUUCRGRAUCRCAGUGCUGCARSUCGACUGCGUGGARGCUGGCAGUCGACUAGUAKUGCGSCMGGGGAUKCGAGGACKCAGG